GGAAAGAGAGAAGAAAGAAAGGAAGGAAGGAAGGGAUAAGAAAAGGGGAUUAAGGAAGGAAAGAAGAAAGGAAGGAAGGAAGGAAGUGAGGAGGAAGAGAAUACAAGAGGAAGGAAAGUAUAAUGAAGAUGACCUAGGAGAGAAGGAAGUAAGGAAGGGAGAGAAGGGAAGAGGAAGGGAGGAGGGAGGGAAGGAAGGAUGCUGAUGUGGUUUUGAGGAAGAUGGAGAGAAAAUAUGGAGGAAAGGAGGAAGGUUGGAGAUUGAGGAAGUUAUCUACAUGCACGUGUUCUUAAUAAUGGAGGAAGAAGAAGAAGAAGAAGGAAAAAGAAGAAGAAGAAGAAGAAUGAGAAAAAGAAAAAGGAGAAGGAAAAAGAAGGAGAACAAGAAGAAGAAGAAGAAGAAGAGGAGGAGGAGGAGGAGGAGGAAAAGGAAAACGAGAAAGAGAAAGGGAAAAUUAUAUACAAGGACGAAGGGAAAUUUAUACACGAGAAAAGAAAAGGAAGAAGAAGAAAAAGAAAAAGAGGAGGAAAGAAAACAUACAAAAAACAAACAUAACAUAAAUAAGGAAGUAAGAAAUGGAGAAGAAGAGAAUGAGAAAUGGAGGAGGAGGAGAAGAAGAGGAGGAGGAGGAAGGAAGGAAAGAAGGAAGAGGAAACCAUUAUCCCCCAUUCCUCUUAUUUCCAAUGUUCGUGUAAGUGUUUAUUUCCUAUUCUGGGUAAGUAAGGAAAGGAUGAAUGGAAGUAAAGAGAAGAGAGGAGAAGGAGAAGAAGAAGAAGAAGAACAGAGAUGAUAAAAAUAACGGGAUAGAGAGGAAGAUGAGAAGAGAGGAGGAGAAGGAGAAGAAGAAGAAGAAGAACAGAGAUGAUAAAAGUAACGGGAUAGAGAGGAAGAUGAGAAGAGAGGAGGAGAAGGAGAAGAAGAAGAAGAAGAACAGAGAUGAUAAA